GCUGAAAUUUCUGCUGAACUUAAAGCACAUGAAUUCUGAGCCCUGCUGUGGCGUCUGCACACCUGCUGGCCAAGGGCCACUUCUGUAGGAGUAUCUUUGUGGAUUCUGCGCUCGUGUGUACCCAUGCUGCGCUACACAGGAGAUGCCCUUCAGUAAGUGGGCCUCGUAAACACCGCGUCAGGAUCCUCAGCGGCUCUGUGGAAAUGAAGAGUUUUGAAGAACUGGCGAGGCUUCCUCCGCAGGAAGACUUCUGCUGCUGUGAGCAUACCAGCAGGUCUAGGAUCACCCGCUGUCUGAUAAGCACUUCCUUCUAGCCAAAUUGUUACCAGGACAGAAAGAAACAAGACAUACAGUCCCUGGGCAGAGAGGUGGACACAGUCCCUGGAGGUUAUGCAACCUAACAGCUGAGCACAGGAUGUCCAGAAUGUUGAAACCCAACAUAACAGUCAAAACUUCUCUACUAGAGAAUUUUGGAGCAGAGAAAUUUUAUAUAGAACUUACCUCUUGGAAUGGAUUUUUGUUCCUGGGAACUGAACUGUAAUAAAGAAAAAUUGUACUGAAAAAUUCACCUAUGA